rnacentral:rRNA from 1 species
AGCAGUCGCCACGGUAAUACGAAGGGUGCAAGCGUUAAUCGGAAUUACUGGGCGUAAAGCGUGCGUAGGCGGUGAGUUAAGUCUGCUGUGAAAUCCCCGGGCUCAACCUGGGAAUGGCAGUGGAUACUGGCUCGCUAGAGUGUGUCAGAGGAUGGUGGAAUUCCCGGUGUAGCGGUGAAAUGCGUAGAGAUCGGGAGGAACAUCAGUGGCGAAGGCGGCCAUCUGGGACAACACUGACGCUGAGGCACGAAAGCGUGGGGAGCAAACAGGAUUAGAUACCCCGGUAGUCCCUGUCUCUUAUAC